GAUGAACGCUGGCGGCGUGCCUAAUACAUGCAAGUCGAGCGAACGGACGAGAAGCUUGCUUCUCUGAUGUUAGCGGCGGACGGGUGAGUAACACGUGGAUAACCUACCUAUAAGACUGGGAUAACUUCGGGAAACCGGAGCUAAUACCGGAGAAUAUUUUGAACCGCAUGGUUCAAAAGUGAAAGACGGUCUUGCUGUCACUUAUAGAUGGAUCCGCGCUGCAUUAGCUAGUUGGUAAGGUAACGGCUUACCAAGGCAACGAUGCAUAGCCGACCUGAGAGGGUGAUCGGCCACACUGGAACUGAGACACGGUCCAGACUCCUACGGGAGGCAGCAGUAGGGAAUCUUCCGCAAUGGGCGAAAGCCUGACGGAGCAACGCCGCGUGAGUGAUGAAGGUCUUCGGAUCGUAAAACUCUGUUAUUAGGGAAGAACAUAUGUGUAAGUAACUGUGCACAUCUUGACGGUACCUAAUCAGAAAGCCACGGCUAACUACGCG
rnacentral:rRNA from 1 species